GUGCCAGCAGCCGCGGUAAUACAGAGGUCCCGAGCGUUGUUCGGAUUCACUGGGCGUAAAGGGUGCGUAGGUGGUGAGGUAAGUCGGAUGUGAAAUCUCCAGGCUCAACCUGGAAACUGCAUUGGAAACUACCUUGCUUGAGGGUUUGAGGGGGGACUGGAAUUCUCGGUGUAGCAGUGAAAUGCGUAGAUAUCGAGAGGAACACCAGUGGCGAAGGCGAGUCCCUGGAAAACACCUGACACUGAGGCACGAAAGCUAGGGGAGCAAACAGGAUUAGAUACCCCCGUAGUCC
rnacentral:rRNA from 1 species